AUGCACAGGGAAGCCCGUGGCGACGGGCCGCAUGCUGGUGGGAGGAGAGGGGAUCCUCGCCAGGAUGGACGUUGGCUGCAGACCCGCGAGAGGACCUUCUUCCUCCCUGCCUCCAGUCCUCUUCCUUUGCUCACCGCCGCCGUGCACGUGUGGCCGCCGUUCGCCGAUGAGAUCCACGCGAGUUCCCACCACCACCAUCAACAUCUAGCACGCGUGGCUCCUCCUCUGCUUGUUCCAUCUACACAUCGGAGCACAUCCCAAACUGCAGAAGCGCCCCGGAUUUGCGUUCCCAUCUGCACAGCGGAGCACAGCCAAAACUCCACGUGA
rnacentral:rRNA from 1 species